rnacentral:lncRNA from 1 species
AAUCGCAUUGAUCACAUCCAACCAAACCGAGAAGACGUUUAUCCAACCCAUUCAUCACACAAGACUUUUCAUAUUACACAAGGUUGUAUUUAUUACCCAAGACAACCAAAAUCUCAUUUCUAUCUAACCACCUAAACCUCUAUUUAUUACCUAACCAAACGCUAACCCACCAUUCAAUUCAUUUCAAACGAGGAUAACCACCAACAUCAAACA